CUGUCCUGCCUGUCUUCUCUUCUCUUCCUCCCAGCAAGUGAAAGCCUAGUGAAAUUUCUUAAAUCUGUUCAAUCAUCGAACCUUAGGAAGUGUUUUUCAAUCUUCAAUCAUCGGACCCUAAUGAAUCGAUGAAACCCUAAGUUUCUCUGAAGGUAUUUGAAGGAAGUAGAAGAUUGGUGAUAAUAAUGAGGCCAGUAUUUUGUGGGAGUUUUGAUUAUGAGACACGUCAAUCUGAUCUUAAACGCCUCUUCUCUAAGUAUGGGACUGUUUUUAGAGUUGACAUGAAAUCUGGGACUGUACCGAAUGCAGUAAUUGGAAGAGAUUUGGUGGUUAAUGAGCUUAUCAAAAGUUCCAGGAAUUUGGUGUAGUGCAUUCUUUAGGAUAUUUACUCGCAUUCUUUAAGAUUACUGUGUACGCGCAUUCUUUGGGAUUACGGUGUACUCGCAUUUGCCAAUUUGUUAUGCGCUUUUGAGUUUGGCAACCAUGAUGAAAGAGGGGUUGAUGGCUGAAAAUUGACAGAAAUAUCAGAAAGUAAAGAAGGCCCCUGCAAAGUUUUCUGAGCCGCAAAUACAGUCAUAUCUUAAGACUGUUGCUUAUCGUCGAGAGAUAGAUGAGGCGCAGAAAGCUUCUGCUGGAAGGGGAGUUGGUGGCGUGCAGACUUCGCGGAUCUAAUGAGAAAGUGUUAUUUACAGGGAAAGGUAUAUCUUUGUUCCAUCUGGAGCUGGUGCAGUUGCCUCUUGACCAGGAGAAUGGGAUACUGAAAUGAAAUGUUAUGGUUAGUUAUUAUAUCUUCAUAGGAUUGCCUACAUCGAGUUUUCUGAUGCCCAAGCUUUCAACAAAGCAAGCCUGCAAAGGAUAUAAUGAACUAGUUGCGGUUAUUUGAAUGAUGCUAUAUUUCAUCAGAAAGGGUGGAGAACAAAGGAGCUUCAAGAUUUGUAAGUUCCAUGUAUUCAAGUUUUGUAGGCAAUUAGUAAGUUUGCAUGUGUUCCCUUAGAAAUUUUGGAACCUUCCAUGUAUUCCUUUAGAAAUUUGAAACUUAACAAAAAAAUAUAAGUUU